CGAUAUUUAGGCAAGGGUCGAAAUUUAGUACAAGCAAACCGUAAUGGACAAGAGUUUCAAAAUGAUGAGGUUGAAGAUGAGGACAUAUUUGAGGUACUUGAUGAGAUACCAGAAAUGCUCCAAGAUAUAGGGCAUGAAUUCGGUUAAGUUGGGGACGAUGGUGGGAAUGAUGGUGACCUAAGGGAAGAUGGAAGUGAUCUAAAUAUAGAGGCUUUUCACCAAUUAUUAGAUGAUGCAGAUGCCAAACUUUAUCCCGGGUGCACAAGCUUCUCAAAGCUACACUUUGUAGUUAGAUUAAUCCACACCAAAUUUCUUGGGGUUGGAGUGAUAAGAGUUUUAACAUAUUGCUAGAGCUGCUUAAUAAGGCCUUUCCAGGGGACUCGCCGACCAUGGUUCUCAAUGGUGAUGAAAAAUGAUGCUAUUUUGCAAUGCCCUUAUGGGAAUGUGAGGACCAUGGCCAAUGCUCUCGGGCGAUCUAUUGCAUGACCUUGUAGAUAUUUUAAACUUCUUUCUAAUCAUGUCUAUUUCAGCAAUUGUAGGUUUCUCAAAUUGCUUCCUGUUGAUAAUCCUAUGUUUGCAGAUUGGGGUGUUCGUAAAGUUAUGCAGAAGCAACCAUGGCAGCCCAUAGCAGUUCCCACAGCUAGAAGGUAUUGUAUCUUCUUAGAAUUUUGGAAUAUUAUACUAAAGAAAAGAUAUGUUUCUCCUUUCACAUACUGAUGACUUAUUAUUUUUCUGAAUGAAGCAUGUGCUCGAAAGUAGGAACCUACAAGUUUCUUAUUUCCUCCUUAGCAACUAGUACUUUUUUUGGUUUUCCCAGUAGAUAAAAAAUGUGCCUACUUUCAAACAUAUGCUUAAGUCCUUCUAUUCUGAAUCACAACCAGCAACUCUGUUUCUUGUUUCUUAAAUAAUUCUGCAGCUACUACUUAAUCUUUCCACAGACAUUUAUGUGCCUGCAAACUCUUUUCCUGAAACCAAGUGCAAACUUAAUCAGUGGGCUGUUCACUUGGUAUACAUUCUCAUAACUAUUGAUGACUAUCCCAAAUUAUUAGGGCCCCAAUUUUGCACGUAAUAGUAAUCCUGACUCCUGACUAGUAUUACUAGUGACUAUCCUAAUGGCUACUCAAUAAACUUGACAAGUUACUAGCUUGGGGAUCACCCUCAAGGCCUCAACCAACCAUCUGGUUAUUUACCCUAAAACCCAUCUGUUUAUUUAGUCGCCGUUUUUUCUGUAAUAUAGUUUCCUUUUCUGCAAUUUCUUCUAGCACUAGAAUGUAUUACUUUUGAGUUACAGUGAAAAUCACUUUUUGAUAGAAUGUAGUUAUUCAAACAAUUGCACUGCCAACGUGAUAUAUAUUAUAAAGUUUGCUUUCUAAUUUUGAAUGACAUUUAGGGCCUAAGUUCUGAUUUUGCACUUGGCCCCUGUUUUUGAAUGUUUUGUUUACUUCACAGCAAUCAAGAGAAAUUAUACUACACCAAAAGAUGACAAUUGGUAUAUAUUUAUAGUGAUAGGUUACAUUGAUUUUCCUGAUGAUUCAUACAUAGUGCACAAUCUGUUCAUAUGAGUACAUCCACACAUUCUUUCUAUGCCUUGUGCAAUGCAAAGUACAGGGUAACACACAUGUGUCUUUUUGUUUGGAUGAGUUGAUUUUCUUUUUCAACCCAUGCAACUUCUAUGUUUGGAAGAUGUGUUCUUCCGAGCUGAUCUAUUUGGCCAUUACCUUUUUCUUUACAGGUCACCAGCAUAAUGCCUUUGCAUUCACAAGUUUCAAGAGGUGUGUUUGGUGAGGCUAAAAGGAUCUUCUGCUGGGAUAUGUUUCUACCUAAAACCUAUUUUGCACUUUUGUCUAUGAUGUAAUACUUUGACUUAUGAACCUACAACUGUAUGCAUUUAGACCUGAUGGAUGGUUGUGCUUUUGGCUGUCCUGGACUUGUGAACCUAUAUAUGUAUGGAUUAUGUAUGGAUGGAGACUUGUGAAUCUAUGGAUGAUGGAUUGCUCAUAAG
rnacentral:lncRNA from 1 species